rnacentral:tRNA from 1 species
GGUCGGGUGGCCGAGUGGUUAGGCAAAGGUACGCAAUACCUUUUAGAUAGGUUCGAAUCCUCUUCCGACCU